rnacentral:tRNA from 1 species
GAUAAGGUGGCUGAAUUAAUAGGCGGUAAAUUGUAAAUUUAUUCAUGGUUGAUGACCUCUUAUCA